rnacentral:rRNA from 1 species
CCUACGGGUGGCAGCAGUGAGGAAUAUUGGUCAAUGGACGCAAGUCUGAACCAGCCAUGCCGCGUGCAGGAUGACGGCUCUAUGAGUUGUAAACUGCUUUUGUACGAGGGUAAACCCCGAUACGUGUAUCGGGUUGAAAGUAUCGUACGAAUAAGGAUCGGCUAACUCCGUGCCAGCAGCCGCGGUAAUACGGAGGAUCCGAGCGUUAUCCGGAUUUAUUGGGUUUAAAGGGUGCGUAGGCGGUUUGAUAAGUUAGUGGUGAAAUUUCGGGGCUCAACCCCGAAACUGCGUGUAAUACUGUUAGACUAGAGAAUAGUUGCGGUAGGCGGAAUGUAUGGUGUAGCGGUGAAAUGCUUAGAGAUCAUAAAGAACCCCGAUUGCGAAGGCAGCUUACCAAACUAUAUCUGACGUUGAGGCACGAAAGCGUGGGUAGCAAACAGGAUUAGAUACCCCGGUAGUC